rnacentral:rRNA from 1 species
AGUGAACGUUGGCGGCGUGGAUUAGGCAUGCAAGUCGAGCGAGAACCGUAGCAAUACGGGGACAGCGGCGAAAGGGACAGUAAUGUGUAGGUACCUACCCCGAGGUCUGGGAUAGCUGCGGGAAACUGCAGGUAAUACCGGAUAAUGUCUUCGGACCAAAGGUGUGAUUCCACCUUGGGAGGGGCCUGCAUCCUAUUAGCUAGUUGGCGGGGUAACGGCCCACCAAGGCGACGAUGGGUAGCGGGUGUGAGAGCACGACCCGCGUCAUUGGGACUGAGAAACUGCCCAGACACGUACGGGUGGCUGCAGUCGAGGAUCUUCGGCAAUGGGCGCAAGCCUGACCGAGCGACGCCGCGUGCGGGAUGAAGGCCUUCGGGUUAUAAACCGCUGUCGUAGGGGAGGAAAUGCAGGUGGGUUCUCCCUCCUGUUUGACCUAUCCUAGGAGGAAGUACGGGCUAAGUUCGUGCCAGCAGCCGCAGUAA